CCGGCUCCCGGGAGCGGGUGGAGUCUCGGCGGUCCGCGGAGCCCGGGGCAGAGGGACGGACAGGCGCACGGGCAGGGAGGCCGGGCCCUCCCGCCGCCUCUUCCCACGUCCGCGCCCAGCUCUCCUCCCACCCGCACACAAUGCGCGGCGGGCGCACCGGGUCGGCCGGGGCCUCGGGGGCCGGAAGGGGUAGUGGUCGCCGGGGCCCGAUUACCAGCGCUCGCGGGUCUCGGGGGUUGCGUUCCCCCGCGGACGGAGGGCGGAGCGCGCGCCCGACUAGGCGCUCAUGGCCGCGCGCACCAGCGGGUCCGCGCCGCGGGCACACGCCUCCUUCCCGCUGGCGCCCGAGCUACGGGCCGCGCCCCAGGCCGGGACGCCUCGCGUCACGCCCGGGCCUCAAUAAAGGGCUUUGUGGUGACGGCCCCGCCCUCCAGGGGCCUUGGGAACCAGGUCCCUGAUGGGGUCCCGCGGGGGGCCUUCGGGUUAGGCAAGCGAGACAAGCACACACUUGACGGAACAAAACUUAGGAGCAAAGGAGUUGUAAGCGAGGUCUUUCUCUGAAAACGACAUUUAAAUGUCAGGAGGUUGUGUUGAAGUGACCUGGGAACGUCGUUUUGGGGCCCAUCUGGGGGCACAAUUUAAAGAAACGUGCUCAGCUUUGACUUGUUCUCUUUGAGCGAUGCUCACUGGUGACGCCUGAGGAGCGGAAGCGCUAUUGUUACAGUUCGCGCGCCCUAGUGGGUCAAGGCAGCUAUAAACGCUCAAGCCCCAAGCCCAAAUGUGGUGUUAUGUGUUCGUCGUGGUAAGGGCAAGACAGAAUGGAAAAAGUGGGCUGAUGGACCAGUUUUUGCAGUCAUUACACUGUGGUGAUUCAGGAGGAAUCUAUAUUUUAAUAUGCCAAUGGUCAUCACUUAAACAUCAAAUGAAGAUGGCUUACCUGUCCAUUUUGCAGGAGGGUCUUGGAGUCAGAACUGGUUUGGAAUUCUAGUUCUGCCAGUUGACAACUUUAAGGUCUUGCCUAUGUAAAUUCUCUAAUCCUCAAUUUCUCCGUCUAUAAAACAAGUAUAAUACUCUAGGACUUGCAAGGUCGUUGUGAGGAUUAAAGAUCUGUCUGUAAAUUCCCUGCCACAUGAUUCUUUCUGGGCAGCUGAUUUUGCUAAAUCUCAUCUAGGACCAGUUGAAAGCUUUAGAAACUGUCAACACAGAAAAUAUGAUCACUCACUUUGGGAGAAGCCAGCCACCAUGUUGAGCCAUCCUAUGGAGAGGCCAUGGAGUAAAGAACUUAAGCUGAAGGUCAACAGCUGUAUGAGUGAGCCAUCUCAGAAGGGGAUCCUCUAGCCCCAGUCGAGCUUUUAGAUGACUGCAGCCCUUGCACACAUCUUGACUGAAACCUCAUUCAAGAUGCUGAGCUAGAAACAUCCAACUAAGCUACCCUCAAAUUCCUGACCCACAGAAUUUGUGAGAUAACAUGUUUAUUUUAAGACACUAAAUU